CUUGUGAUCCUCCUGCCUCAGCUUCCAGAGUCACUGAGAUUACAGUUUCACUAGCAGGUCUCCCUGGUUCACCACUGGAAAUGGAACAGGGUGCUUUAUUCUAUCACAUAUGCCAGAAAAGCACUGCAAAUCUCCAAGGUGAAAAAGGAACAUCAAAUCACUGAUUGGAAGACGAAAAGCUUCACACACCAGGCAACCCCAAAUCCCACUGUCCCGCUGCCUUUCCUUUCUGUUCAUCUUUUCAUUCCUAAUGCAUGAAUCCCAACCUGAUCCCCCCAUCUCCCUGAGCCUGGAGCACCUUGAGCAAUUCAGUGGCUGUGAAAUCUCCUGCCGACUUUGUUUUGGCUGGAAUUGCAGCCCGCAUGUGGGAGAAUUAAGCAAAAACGUCACAGAGCUAAUAGUAUGCCUCUGUGCAGUGGUAGGCAGAUCAGUAGAAAAAGGUGACAUCAUGGAUAAUUCCAGCACUUCAGGUCUGCAGUGCAAAGCGGCUUCCUUGCUACACAUCAGAGUCAGAACCUGGAUUUGAGACAAAAACAACUCUCCCUUCUCAUAAAUAUCUGCUCUGGGGCUCAAAAAUAUUCUAAGUGCAAUGGCUCAGAAAUGGUCCCUUUCCCUUGGAGACCCAUCUGAUUUUCCAAAUCCAAUCACAAACUUUUUAAUAGCAUGUCAUGAACCUCUCAGCUCAUUAUUUCUCUUCAAAGCCUUCCAGUUUGCCAGCUUAGAGCCUGUGAAGUGUUGUUUGAUGAUGUGCUGCACCAUAAAUAAGCACAUAGGACAUGCUAAAAUCCAUCCUUCACUAGUUCUGGCUUUCCCACCAGGAAUACUGCCAUACAAUCAGGAAUGUGUGAUUUGCAGCAAUUGCUCUGAAUUGAGAGUUUUUUUUUUUUUUUUUAAAACACAUCCAGUGUGUAAUGUAGGUAAUAAAACAGAUUUAUCAUGUUUAUAUAAAUCCCAUUUUUUUUCUUUCUGUUCCUUCGGCUUUCCUCCCCACCCUCUCAUGGCUAGGAUAUUAGAAGCAAGGAAAGCAGGAAUAUAGACAGAUCCUUUAAAAUAGCAAUCACAGCUUUAACCAUUCCUGACUGCAGGAAAUCAAUGCAUUGGAUAAUUUACCAUGUCUCUAAUACCCAGCGUUCCCUCUGAUGUCUUUAAGUUGUGAGCAGACAACCAUUUUACAUGUGUAACCAGCCAUGAAGGUUAGCCUACAGAAUGGAGGUUACUGUUGUAAUCAAAUAAAGCUCACACAAGCUAA